rnacentral:rRNA from 1 species
UCGCUACUACCGAUUGGACGUUUUGGUGAGGCUCAUGGAUCACCGCCCUCUGUGGUUCGCCACGUUGGGCAAGUGAGAAAUGAAACAAACCUGAGCGUCUAGAGGAAGUAA